rnacentral:rRNA from 1 species
AUUGAACGCUGGCGGCAGGCCUAACACAUGCAAGUCGAGCGGAUGAAGGGGGCUUGCUCCUGGAUUCAGCGGCGGACGGGUGAGUAAUGCCUAGGAAUCUGCCUGGUAGUGGGGGAUAACGUCCGUAAACGGGCGCUAAUACCGCAUACGUCCUGAUGGAGAAAGUGGGGGAUCUUCGGACCUCACGCUAUCAGAUGAGCCUAGGUCGGAUUAGCUAGUUGGUGGGGUAAAGGCCUACCAAGGCGACGAUCCGUAACUGGUCUGAGAGGAUGAUCAGUCACACUGGAACUGAGACACGGUCCAGACUCCUACGGGAGGCAGCAGUGGGGAAUAUUCGACAAUGGGCGAAAGCCUGAUCCAGCAAUGCCGCGUGAGUGAAGAAGGUCUUCGGAUUGUAAAGCACUUUAAGUUGGGAGGAAGGGAAGUAAGUUAAUACCUUGCUGUUUUGACGUUACCAACAGAAUAAGCACCGGCUAACUUCGUG